AUUGAACGCUGGCGGCAUGCCUUACACAUGCAAGUCGAACGGCAGCACGGGAGCAAUCCUGGUGGCGAGUGGCGAACGGGUGAGUAAUAUAUCGGAACGUGCCCAGUCGUGGGGAUAACGUAGCGAAAGCUACGCUAAUACCGCAUACGAUCUAUGGAUGAAAGCGGGGGAUCGCAAGACCUCGCGCGAUUGGAGCGGCCGAUAUCAGAUUAGGUAGUUGGUGAGGUAAAGGCUCACCAAGCCGACGAUCUGUAGCUGGUUUGAGAGAACGACCAGCCACACUGGAACUGAGACACGGUCCAGACUCCUACGGAGGCAGCAGUGGGGAAUUUUGGGACAAUGGGGGCAACCCUGAUCCAGCAAUGCCGCGUGAGUGAAGAAGGCC
rnacentral:rRNA from 1 species